rnacentral:tRNA from 1 species
GGGGUUGUGGCUCAGUCGUAGAGUGCUUGCCUCACAUGCAUGAAGCACUGGGUUCAAUUCUCAGAACCGCA